rnacentral:lncRNA from 1 species
UAACUUAGUUCCAUCAAACAUUAACUACAGAGUUGGUGACAAUACGUUGAUAAUGUAGGCAAAAAAGGUAAGCUUCAUGAGAAAGAAGUAAAGAACCAAAUAAAUAGAAACUAGGUGCUCCCAUAGAUAUGUAAACAAGAAAUACCGAAAACACCCUUCUGGUUUUACAUCUCAUAAAACAAAACGACAAAAAUAAGUCCAAAGGGUGGAAAAGUCAGAUCACACUUUUCAGUUUGCAAUGCUUUCUCGAAAACCGCCUGGCUCAGUUUCUCGGAUCACGGCGGACCACCGCCUGAAGACGUCGGGGCCGGUGAGUCAGGCUUCGUUGCUUUAACAGCCAUGAACGAACAGUUCUCUCUUCUAAAGCUUUCAUCUUCGUCCAUGACCAUCUGCUUCGAUCUACACUCCACGCUACAGAAACCUUUAUCACCUCUUGACAUAUUCAAAACACAUCCGAGAAACAUUAACACAAGCCGUGUAAUAAAAAAAUGAUUUAUUUACGUUCGUCGAUGACUUACUUGUACAUGUAGAUAUCUUUCGCUGGAAGAAGUUUCCUUUUACAGAGAAAACAAUGUUUGAGAAACCCAGAAUCCGGAUAAGAACUACCACGGCGGAGAUCAGAGGCGAUGGCGCUGACCACGACGGUGGAUUUGUUGACAACCUGAUGCGGUUUGGGACUAACAAAGCCGUUGCUGAGAGUGUUGUUGUUAGAAAACUCCAAAACAAUACUUAGUCCCACCAUUUUCAUCUCUUUUAUCUCAUUAUCUAUUCUUCUUCCUUUAUGGUUUCGAGAUUUUCAGGUGUUAAUGGCCAGGGGAAGAAGAAGAAGUUUUGGUAGUGAAAAUGUUUUUUAAUAAAAUGUGUUAUAAAGAUGUAUAGAGGAUAGGUGGGACCUACAAGUGUACUACGUGAGGACGAUUGAUUUGAUUUCUUUUGCUUGAUACUCGCCACGUGUUUGUCCUCCUCCAGUCCUCUUCAUGACUUGUGUAACUUUUCUUCCUCUUUUUUUUUUUACCCCAAGUUUUUUGCUUUUGAUAAUUUCUCAAAAGUUAUCUAGUUUGAUUUUGUCGUUUUGUGUGUGUUUCAUUUCAUAAGUCUACUACGAGAGUUUUUAUUCGUGUUACGUUUCAAAAGAGCUUCACUUUUGCUGUUGAUUUUAGAAGAUAAGGAGACAUCAAAAUAAAGAAACAAAAGGCUGAAUGGGCUGAUUAUAUAUUAUCAAAUAGGCCAGAGUUCUUAUAUGUCCCAUAUUGUUAAAGGCUACAAACACGCUAUUUCGAUAAAGGCCCAAACCUUGAUAUACUUCCAUCACUCGAUUUUCUUUUCCUUUGAAUAUUUUGGUAUCGGCUGAACACUAAUCACAGUCAAUCUCGUGCUCUGAAUAGCUUCAAUAUUUUCACCUUUUUGAUUGAUUGUAAUGCACAAAACCAGCUAAUUAUGGUCAAUCUUAUUCAGGAUAUAUUUAAUUUUUCUUUGCAAAAAAAAAAAAUUAUUUUCUAUCUACAAACAUUACUGUUUAAUUCAAAGGUUACAGCAUAAAUAGUAGCCAUAAAAGGGAAUUAGUGGGGGAAAAAUAAUAGAACGAUAUGAAAUAGGUAAAAACAUGAAACAUAUUCAUUUCUUUUUUUUUUAAUGGUUUUCAAAUUAAAAUACUAAAAACAAAUGAUGUAUGGUUGACCAUAAAGUUUGAAAAAAUAUGAUGAGACAUGUCUCAUAUUCAACCAAUCAUUAGAGCAUCCGCAACGAAGAGAGCCUCCGUCCGUUUCUAAUAUAUAAUAUUAAAAAUUUUAGUUAUCUUUUAGUUGUUUCAGAUUAAUUGAGUUAUUGUAGGGUUGACAGGCGUAGAAUUAUCUAUCUGUGGUGAAUGAAGAGGGGAACUUGUGUUAUUAUUACUGUUGACUAGAAGGUCCAUAUAUAUACAAGGUAUUAGACCGUCAUAAGGUCAUGUUUAUCCUAACAAUAUAAGGAUAAGGAUAAACACUAUGUUACAGAUAUACAUGGAAUAUAUACUAGAUAAACACAUAGUCUCUGGUUGUCUUUAUCAUGUCCCGGAUUGGGUCUGCAGUACGGGCUGGUCCAUGGUCGAUCAUCAUUUGGUUUAUAACACUCCCCCUUGAUCGACACAUCCGGUACAGGUUCGUUGCAUGCUUAAUGUUGCCUCAUUAAAACCUCUCCUGAAAAACCCCAAAACCAAUGUGGCAAAAUGGGAAACCAAGGACAGGAAAAAGAGUACAACACAUGAACUCCCCCAGAUGAAUGCAUCACUGUAGUAGACGCAUUCCCAUCUGGUAUCCGAGUCUUCUUGAACGUUGAAGUUGCCUAUGACUUGGUGAAGAUGAUCAGCUGGAUUCUCCUUGAAUGAACUUGUAAGUCUUGGACGUUGGUAUGUCUUUUGGAACUCCAUUAAGAUGUGGUCAGGAUGUACAUCUUUGCUGCUGAUCACUCCAUGUCUUGGUUGAACUGAUGGUGCUUCAAACGGUGCUCGGAUGGACUUUAUAAUCUGCAAUAAAACUUUACUUGCAGGUCCUUUUUCAUGUCCCACGGAUUCUCUUUGGUUAUAUGGCUUUCCCAAAACGUGGACAUUCAAUAUAUAUUGAGUCAUAGACCCAGAACACAUACGAACAACUUUACUUCAUAUCUUUCGUUCAUUCGGACUUAUAUCUCUUCGUAUGUGCCAAUGGCUUUAUCCAUUGUAACCAAUCAUUCUUUAUUUUCUUUUGUCGAUCCAUGUUGAGCUAUAGACCUUGUCUAUAUUCGUUCAUAAUCAUGAGUGUCUAAGGUCAUACCAUCAAUAAUUAUUUGCUGCAAUGAAACUCAUCACACAAUGAAUUCGCAGUCAUACACUCAUGUCCUUUGUACAUGGUUAUCGAUCUUUUCUUGCUUUAGCAAUGCUUAUAAUCAUUAAGCCACGACCAGACAUCCUUCUGGUCACUAUCCUGGUUUAUGGUUCUCACUUAGGCGUGCUGACAUAAUCAUACACACACACACACGGCUAUGAUUUUUCUACAGACUUUCCAUAUGUAAAACAUAGCCUGUUUAAUCAAUCGAUAACUUGUAUCAUUGAACCUUUGAACCAUUAAACCUUUUUCUCUCAGUUGGUCUUUAUUAUGAUCACAAGGAAUUAUAAUAUUUUCUGUAUGGACUGACUGCACUAAGUAAAUACUUAGUCUUUCAUAUUACUUACAGCUGCUGUAUAUUACAAUCCAUAAACAACUUAGGAACAAAGCUUGUUCUAUGAGAAUUUCUUUCUCAUAUUUCUAUGGUACGUUGAUACCUUUAUCCAGUGAUCCAUUUGCUGCUUACUACACCAUUAUUUCUUUAGUAAAUAUCCAGACAAAAUCAAACUUGAUUUUCUGUAGUAGCAUCCACCAUAUAGGAGCAUAUCUCUUUAUAAAUUGUUCCUUGGUCCUUGUGAGUAUCCUUGUGUAAUCAAGCUAUACUUGAACGUUAUUUAGAAGGAACAUGGACACACUAUACCAUGUGGUCAUGUCCUUUAAUCUCACGGAAUUUCUUAUCUCACAAGAUCCAUUCACUGGUUUCUUUCUUAGAUGGCUUUUCUGUAUGUACAUGGUUACUACGCCCAUCUGUCUUAUAAUUACUUUGAAUUCUUUGAACACCCCACGUCCCUAUAUAGGUUUUAUGAGUACUCUACGUGGGUUCAUGAUCCUCAGGUUAUAUCCUUCAAAUCCCAAGUACUACAAUCUUUUAUGAGCUCUUAUGUAUGUAAAUACAUCUUUGGUGUUAACACUCUUUAUCUUUAGUUUCAUACUGUUCCAGACAUGAUCUAAUUAGAUUUUGAGAUCUUAUUAUCCAAGACCUUUAUACCUUGCAGUUUGGCGUCCCAAACUACAUGGUCUGGUACCUUAGAUGUGUGGUUGCGCAACCUUAUUUCUCUGUCUGAACUGGUUUCUCUUAUGAACUCGGAUUUGUACGAUUCUGAGCACCUUUCAUUACUUUCCGAGGUUCCUUAUUAUUUGGAACUUAUUUGUCUAUCUCUAAUAGACAUUGUAGCAACUUGAUUGUGUCUCUUAGACAUCUAAUUCGUGGUGCUUAAGCUGGUAUGACAUAGUCAUUUUUUCUUUUCGGGUCAGUGUGUCUGGCAUAUAUUUCUGCUAGCUUUUAUAUCUUUUGAUCAUAUUCUUUUAGAACGUCUAGAUCAUAAUCUUUGGUCUGAGGAUCUUGCCAAGACAACUAUGGUUGAUACCAUUAUAUUUCUCUUUUACUCUUUACUCUUUAUCAGCCUGAUAACUUUCUCCUUUCAAAGUUGGAUAAUCAGAUUACUAUCUUUUGUAAUCUGUGUUCUUGGCCACUUGAUUAAAUCAUCCAUGUUUGGCACAAGAUACAUUAUAGUUUCGUGGAGGAAGUCUUAUUUAUCUAAUAUAUAUUCCCAAUCCUCAUCUGAGGUUCCAUCUUAAAUGGCACACAUAUAUGUGGUGGAAUAUUCGUAUUUUCUUAAGAUGGUUUGUGUAUAUGUCUGGUUUAUGACCCUUAAUCAUUCAGAGGUGGGAAUGUCUAUGCUUACAUGUAUGGCCUGAUGUAAAUCAAUAUUUAUAUACAUAAUGUCCUUAAGCUUUAGGCUGGACGUGGGUGAUGUACCAUUAGUGAGAGCUUUAAAGCUUUCCAGCCGUGUAUAUUAUGGUUGUAAACCAUGGAAUCCGAAUUUAUGAUAUGAUCAUGGACUGUGGGUUUUAGUCCUCUCUCCCCCUCAUGAACAUACUCAUAAUUUCGUAGUGCUUAGGACAGUGGAGCCUUAAUUAUUUUAGUGAUUUUCCCUUUUGUGUACUUAUAACACAUUGUGAGAUUUUAUGGGAUCACUUUUGUGCCUUAAUUAAUUUUUCAUCAUGUUUUGGAUCAAGAUGGCUAAUCUGGUCAUGCCAUAAGUGUUUAUUUCGUGGUGAACCAUACUGGUUACCAUGGCUUUAUGCCUCUUUCAUACUGAUCCUUAGCAUAGAAUAAAUCAGUAGAAAAUAUGGGUAUAGGCAUUCAUAAUGCUUUUAGGCGAUUUUUCAAAAAUCUGAAAGGAAUCGUAUUUUCUUUGCUCACUGGUUCAAUGUAGAAUGUUAUAAAUCUUUAUAACUCAAUGGGUCUGAAUAAUGUCGUGUCUUUUGCCAUUGUCAGUACCAAUUAAUUGAUUUCAAGUGAUUGUAGGAAGGUAAAGUUGAACCUAUACAAUCAAGAUGAAGUUAAAUCUAUGCGAGAAAUCAAUCUAUCAGUGAACUGACUCAUUAGUCUACACCCAACAAUUGAUUUUAUGUGAUUGCAGGAAGGUAAAGUUAAACCUAUACAAUCAAGGUAAAGUUAAACCAUGCAUGAAAUCAACUAUCAGUGGACUGAUUAUCCUUUUAUUAAGGUUUUAUUUGUUAUUUAAUCAAGAAUCAUCAAGCAAGACCAAGCAAGAUAAUAUAUAAAAACAAAAUCGUGAAUCAUCAAGUAGGUCAAAAGCAAAUCACAAAAUCAUAGACUUAAAAUAAAAUUAUCAUGUCGAGAUCUUUCUUUUAGUCAAUGUAUAAGCCGGCCUCACAAUCUAUAUUACUCCACACGGCUUUCUUGGAUUCAUCCUGAUCCAAUGCCUCAGGAUAUCUCAUCUCACUGUUUUGUUCCUCAAUGCAUCUUUUCUGAAGUUUCUCAAAUCUGUCAAUGGUAUCUUUAAUUUUUUGCUUUCUUUAAUCAGUUGCCAAUAGGUGUGACAAUAGGUCAUUAUAGGUUGUGAAACCUUUAGCUGUAUAUGAUUGCAACCGAUCCUUUGGAUUGAAUGUGGAAUAUGUUUUAUACAGUAGAUCAUUAUCUGUAACCACUUCAUCACAUAGUUCAAGGCUAUGGGCGAUUUUCAUUAGAGUUUUCGAUGAUACUAAUUUACAAAACGUACGUUCUGACAUGAGAACCAGAAAUCUAUUAUCAUCAUUUUGGAAAAUACUUGGUUGACCCAAAGGUAGUUAGUAUAACAUGCUAAUCUUGUGUAGUAUUCAUUUGUACACUAUACAUAAUGAUGCUUUUCCUUUAUGAAUAAAACAAAGUAACGUUAUAAAAAAGGUCCAAAUAGUCCAUUUCUCCUUCUCGUGUGAUGCAUAGUUUGAUUCACAAUCAACACAAUGGAAAAGCAAAGAAGUUAAUAAAUGUUUUUAUAUGUAAAUACCGAAUAUUACACUAUAGUUUCUUUGAAAUCAUAUAAACAAAUUCCAAUAUACGUUUAACUGCGACGACAUACACAAAUAUAUAGAAACAUAUGUCGGUCAAAAGCUUGAGAUUCUCCCACACAUUGAAUCAAAUUCGCAUGAAACCAAAGAAAAAAGAGAAUAUCUUUAUUUGUAUUAAUAUAGAGAGCAUAUAUAUCUAGUAGUAUUUUUACUACGUGUUAUUUUGGUUGUCCCUUUGUGGAUUAGAUCAACAUAGUCUAUCACUAACCACCACUAUACUACAAAAUCCCUUUUAUCCUAAAAUUCAUGAGAAGGUCAUCUUCUUUAAAGCUAUGUUAACCUCUUAAAAUUUUAAAAUAAAGUUGCAUGGUGGAAACAUAAAAAAUAAACUUUCUACUUUAACUUAGUUCCAUCAAACAUUAACUACAGAGUUGGUGACAAUACGUUGAUAAUGUAGGCAAAAAAGGUAAGCUUCAUGAGAAAGAAGUAAAGAACCAAAUAAAUAGAAACUAGGUGCUCCCAUAGAUAUGUAAACAAGAAAUACCGAAAACACCCUUCUGGUUUUACAUCUCAUAAAACAAAACGACAAAAAUAAGUCCAAAGGGUGGAAAAGUCA